GAUGAAGAACGCAGCGAAAUGCGAUACGUAAUGUGAAUUGCAGAAUUCAGUGAAUCAUCGAGUCUUUGAACGCACAUUGCGCCCCCUGGUAUUCCGGGGGGCAUGCCUGUCCGAGCGUCAUUGCUGCCCUCAAGCACGGCUUGUGUGUUGGGCCUCCGUCCUCCUCCCGGGGGCCGGGCCCGAAAGGCAGCGGCGGCACCGCGUCCGGUCCUCGAGCGUAUGGGGCUUCGUCACCCGCUCUUGUAGGCCCGGUCGGCGCUUGCCGACACAUCAAUCUUUUUUCCAGGUUGACCUCGGAUCAGGUAGGGAUACCCGCUGAACUUAAGCAUAUCAAUAAGCGGAGGA
rnacentral:misc_RNA from 1 species